GUAUAUUGUUACCAAACAAAUGGAAAACUUACCAGUAUAUACUGUAAAACAAGUUAAGUUAAGUUAAGUUACCUUUAUUAGUCCCACGAGUGGGAAAUUUCAUGUUAAGGCUGCCGACCAAUUGCACGCGAUGGCGGCGCCAUCUUACCCUCUGACCAUACAUACAUUGCACAAAAACAUCACAUGGGGAAGACAGGUCAGAGAGGUAUAACAAUGGAAAAUCCACAACAUGUGGAAAGAUAAGGAGAAAAAAAAAUAACUCCCCCCAGACUGAGCUCCAACAGGGAGAUCAGUUUGAGAACAGAAAAAAACACCUCUGCACAUAGCACAUGAAAAAACUCUUAAUACAACAAAGAAACACAUGACAAGCAACAGGGAUGGGUAAAGGGUGAGAGACAGCCAGUGUAGACAGUGCAUCCGGGCCUGCAGCAUAUGCGCUGGUCUCCUUGAUCCACCGUCAGCAUCGGAACAGAAUAAACGUCGAAGGCGUUUGGAGGGGGAGGGGGGAUGAGGUAUAUCUGCAAGUUUAUAUAUAUGUCUGUGUGUGUGUGUGUCCAGAGUUCAACUGAGACAGUGUCCUUCGCCCUGCCAGGCUAAGUAAACAGUCUUCUAGCCAACCCAGGCUAGAAGACUGUUAUGGCCCUGUCCAUAAUCUGUUUUGGUGGCUGUUGUUGUCUGUGCCUUUAAGUCUUUGCAGGUCCCGGAGUGGAUGAGCUGACGGCUGCUGAUUGGUCCCCUGGCCAUGUGAUCUUCAUUCAAAUCCCUCACCAGCAGUUGUCCCGGGGCAGCCACUGACAGCAGCAGCAGACCUGACCCUGGCCUCCAAAACCUGAGACUUUUGUGCCUGUGACUUUCUGUUCCUGAGAAAGCUGAACUGCCUGUGGAAAAAGCUGAAAAAUGUGUGUCUGAUAAACUGCUACCCACUACACCUGACCUGUCUUUUGAGUCUUUGCAGGUCCCGGAGUGGAUGAGCUGACGGCUGCUGAUUGGUCCCCUGGCCAUGUGAUCUUCAUUCAAAUCCCUCACCAGCAGUUGUCCCGGGGCAGCCACUGACAGCAGCAGCAGACCUGACCCUGGCCUCCAAAACCUGAGACUUUUGUGCCUUUUUGUAUAUAGUGUGUACAUUAGUUUUCAUUGUAAAUAGCCUUGUAAAUAGCACUGCAACAGAAGGGGUGAGCUGCCUUAUUGUUUUUCCUUGCACUGUUUUCUCCUGUUUAUUUCAGUUAGGGAGUUAGGUGUAGCGCUUGUCUUUUGUUUGAUAUUUGAUUUCACAUAGGGUUGUAGAUAACACCUCCUCCUGACUUAGCUUGUUUUGUUUGUUAUUUUGGCCUUUGUUCACCCUGGAGCUUCAUUUUUGCAGUGUAGAUAAUAAAUCACGAUUCACUAAGGAA
ensembl:lncRNA